rnacentral:rRNA from 1 species
GAUGAACGCUAGCGGCAGGCUUAAUACAUGCAAGUCGAGGGGCAGCAUGAUUGUAGCAAUACAAUUGAUGGCGACCGGCAAACGGGUGCGGAACACGUACACAACCUCCCAAUAAGUGGGGAAUAGCCCAGAGAAAUUUGGAUUAAUACCCCGUAACAUAACGAUGUGGCAUCACAUUGUUAUUAUAGAUUUUUCGCUUAUUGAUGGGUGUGCGGCUGAUUAGAUAGUUGGCGGGGUAACGGCCCACCAAGUCUACGAUCAGUAGCUGAUGUGGGAGCAUGAUCAGCCACACGGGCACUGAGACACGGGCCCGACUCCUACGGGAGGCAGCAGUAAGGAAUAUUGGACAAUGGACGCAAGUCUGAUCCAGCCAUGCCGCGUGAAGGAUUAAGGUCCUCUGGAUUGUAAACUUCUUUUAUAAGGGACGAAAAAAGGCUUUUCUAAGUCGUCUGACGGUACCUUGUGAAUAAGCACCGGCUAACUCCGUGCCAGCAGCCGCCGUAACAC